UGCAGUCGAGCGGAUGACGGGAGCUUGCUCCUUGAUUCAGCGGCGGACGGGUGAGUAAUACCUAGGAAUCUGCCUGGUAGUGGGGGACAACGUUUCGAAAGGAACGCUAAUACCGCAUACGUCCUACGGGAGAAAGCAGGGGACCUUCGGGCCUUGCGCUAUCAGAUGAGCCUAGGUCGGAUUAGCUAGUUGGUGAGGUAAUGGCUCACCAAGGCGACGAUCCGUAACUGGUCUGAGAGGAUGAUCAGUCACACUGGAACUGAGACACGGUCCAGACUCCUACGGGAGGCAGCAGUGGGGAAUAUUGGACAAUGGGCGAAAGCCUGAUCCAGCCAUGCCGCGUGUGUGAAGAAGGUCUUCGGAUUGUAAAGCACUUUAAGUUGGGAGGAAGAGCAUUAACCUAAUACGUUAGUGUUUUGACGUUACCGACAGAAUAAGCACCGGCUAACUCUGUGCCAGCAGCCGCGGUAAUACAGAGGGUGCAAGCGUUAAUCGGAAUUACUGGGCGUAAAGCGCGCGUAGGUGGUUCGUUAAGUUGGAUGUGAAAUCCCCGGGCUCAACCUGGGAACUGCAUCCAAAACUGGCGAGCUAGAGUA
rnacentral:rRNA from 1 species